UUUAGAUAUUAAGAAUCCUGCUUCAAGGAUUUUGUAUUAUCUGAUCUGCUAAAAUACAUAUUUAUUUAUUUAUUUAUUUAUUUAUUUACUCUGGCUUGGCAUUAAUAUCAACUGGAGAUCUUUAAAACAUUGUCAAUUCUUGAGCCCUACCCCCAAGAUUUGUAUUCAUUUGACUUGAGGUGGAGCUAGGGUGUGGACUUCUUAAAAGAGUUUUCUCAGUGAGUCUAGUAUGUAGAGAAUCACUGGGCACAGAUUAACGGAGAAUUAAAAUAUUAGGAACAGAACACUUGAAGUGGAAGAAGAUGGUUCCUUGUGAAAUUUGCUUAAAUAUGUACCCUCUUUGGAUGCUUUUUUUCUUCAUUGUAGGUAUAAUGGCCUCCUGUUAACAGGUCCUCUAUUAAAAUGGUAGCUAGGUUACUACUCUAAUUAUAAGUGUUGAAAUAACUUUUUUCCACCUAAAAGGUUAAAGUGUACCCGUUCAUCAAAUGCAUCCAGCUGCAGGUGCCCUUCACCAGUUUCUUGCCUUUCAACAGAUUGUAUUAAGGUUAGAUUUUUUAUGUGAAAUGGAUUAUCCUGUGCAAGAAAAUGAAAUUAGAAUUAUAAAGGUGGUUUGAAGGUUCUUUAGAGAGAGACUUCUCUACUUGCAUGGCAGCAACCAACUAUUGAUUGGCUAAUGCAAGUAAUUGUGAGGAGCAGAGAGUGGUAUCAGGAAGAUUGCAGAUAACCCUAAUCAUGCAGAUAACCUAAAACCAAACCCGUAAGACCAGCAAAAGUAUUGCCAUCUUUAGAUGUUAACCAAAAAAUUACAAACAAAUAAAUUAAGUACCACAGUUUAAGAAAAUACGGUAUUGCUAUAUGAUAAAAUAGUCUUAUUGCUUGCCUUUCCUUGUUUGACUCUUCUUCCUUAAAGAAAGAUCAGAACAGCCCUUGGGUUGGACAGCAGCACAGUUGCUGAAUGCUUCCCACCUCUGCCACUGACCAAGCUCAGAGCCUCACCCUGGCUGUGACAUCUCAGCCAUAGGAGCUCCUGGGAGGGAGAGGAGCAAAGGGUGAUAAUUGGGGCUGGGAGAGGGAGUUAUGACCUAGUCUUCUCUGUGCAUCAGAUACCUGAUGUUUAGAUGUUUUGAUGAUUCAUAAUAAAUUUUCUCCUCAUGUAUGCCUGCAACACAUUCUGUGAACAUAAACCUGUAUUUUAGCAAGAUAUCAAUUAAGCGAAUACAUGGAUGAAUAAUCUGCCCUUAGGUAAAGUGAGAUAGCUCAAAUUUUGCCCUACCUCCAAUUCUCUUAAAAGACGACAUCUUCGUGGGUUUGUGUUCUGCUUCCCAUGCUGCCGCAUCAUGUAGAACCUCUUUCUCACUUUUUCUUCUCCUGCCUAGCCAGUGGCUGGUCAUUUGAAGAAUUAAAUAAACACUUUCCUGCCUUUUGGAAGCUUUCUUUGCAGCUCCAGGCUCAGUUAACUAGAGCCUUCUCUCUGCUCCUUCUCCAUGUUCCCAGUUCCCAUGUCUGAUACUCUUGUUCUGGCAAUCAAAACAGAGUAUAGACACUUUCUCCAUGCAAACAUAUGCUGCUUAAAGGCAGAACUGUGGCACGUUCUUCCUGAUAUCCCAGCAUCCAGCACUGUGCUUGGCAUGUAGUAGAUGCUCAAUAAAAGAUUAAACAAACUUUCCAUUGAUUUACUUGUGGUUUUCUAUAAGAACAGAAAAAAAAAUUAAUUUUUUAGUUUUUAUCUAAAAUGAAAAUUAUCCAUUCUAAUACAGUAUUGAUUCUGUACAAUUUUCAUUGUAUUGUUCUGAUUACAUUUUUGAGAGCAUCUUUGUAUAGAGGCAGUAGUAGCUGAUUGGUCUAUCUUUACUAUAGGCAGAAGUUUAGCAACAGAUAUUUUUGCCUUGAAGUAGCUGUAGGUGUGUUCUGUACAGUACUUAAGAAACAAUACUGAUAUUGCCCUCUUCAAUACUCACCCACCCACCCACACACAUGCAGGUGUAUGCAUUUGUACACACCUACAUCCUGAUUCGUUGGUGGUUCUGGAAUGGGACCUGGACAUCAGUUUUUUAGAAGUCCUCAAGGCAACACUAAUGUGCAACUAGGUUUGAGAACCAGAGCUUUGAGCAGUUCUGUUAUACAGUGGAACCAUUCUGUUUACAAAAAAAUUCUCUGACAUGCCUGUGGAAGGUCCCAUACACUCUGUGCAAUUUUUAAAGUAUUAGUAUUACUGUUUGUGGAGCUUUUGUGGGAGGUGAGAUCUUUUCAGUUAGGCAAACCAGCAACUGAGCCCCUGCCUUGUUAUGCCCAUGACCUUAUUUAGAUAUCUUCUUACAUUUACAUUGGCUUUUUUUUUUUGGAUUAAUUUUUAAAAUUCUUUUCAAAGAUGUGGAAGAGUAAAGAAAGCAACAGCUUCCUAUGUACCUACCUCUGAGGAUAAACAUGACAUUUUGCCAUAUUUGCCUCACCUCCUUUUAUUUAAAAAAAAAGGUAUUUGUAACUUCAGUUUUUCACUUCCUGCAGGUAACCAUUCUGCUGUAGUUGCUAUUCAUAAACAUACUGUUUUUGUGCUUUUACUACAUAUGUAUAUAUACUCACAGCAACAAACAGUAUACAAUCAUUCAUCUGUAUCUGAGGGGGACUGGUUCCAGGACCUCCUUCAGACCAAAACCCACAGAUACUCAAAUCCCUGAUAUAAAAUGGCAUCAUAUUUACGUAUAACUUAUAUAUAUCCUCCCAUAUAUUUUAAAUCAUCUCUAGGUUACUUAUAAUACCUAAUGCUAUGUAAAUACUUGUUAUAGUGUUUAGGGAAUAAUGGCAAGAAAAAAGUCUGUACUUGUUCAGAUGCAACCAUCCAUUAAAAUAUAUAUAUUUUCAAUCCACGGUUGGUUGAAUCCACAGAUGUAGAACUCACAGACAUGGAGGUCUGACUCUGUGUUUUAAAGUAUCUCAGCUGGUGUCCUUGUUAAUUUUGCUAUGACUAACACCAAUUUAUUCAUUUUACCAAUUGAUUUAUCUAUUCUCUAUGCAGCUUUAUUUCCAAAACACACUUCAUGCAUUUCCUAGCUUUGAGACAUUGGGUACAUCUUCACUUUCAAGAGUCUGUCAUUGAAAAACAGGGGUCAGAAACCUGUAUCAGAGGAUUGUUUUGGGGAUUAAAUGAGAUGAUGUAUGUAAAAUGUUUAGCACAGGGUUUGGGAGACACAUAAACACACAUUACGAACAUUUGCUAUUAGCAAGAUAUGUAGUGCUGUGGUUACUUUGCCAUUAAAUAAAAUAAUAUGUGAAAAUAUAAUACCUGGCUUGGCAACUGCUGGGUCUCUUUUCUCUUUCCCCUAAUAAUCUCCCAGGUAUAUUUAUAGCUGUUCUGCACAUUUUGCCAUCAGAGGCGUCAGAGGGCUGUGAAAGGAUUUCUGGCUUGCCCGUCAGUACAGGAUGAAUUAACAGAGGCUGGGGAGAGAGACAAGAAGUUACUAUGUGGGCUACAGAGUGAUAGAGGAAGGAUAUGGGGGCAGUGCUCCGUUUCCAGCUGGUUUUAAAUUCUCUUCCUUAUGCUUUACUCCUCCUGAGGGCCUAUUUUCUGAGAAGUACUUGCCAUAUCCUUUAUGUGCAUUAUCUUUUGUUUAAUAACUUCCUGAAUUAUAUAUCUUCAUCUGUAACUUAAGAAUUAGUGUUCCCCGUUAGGUCUGCCUAAUUCCAAAACUCAUGAGCUUCCCACUCUAGCAAACAAGCCAACCAAAUGAGGGGGAAAAAUAAAACCACCUAAAUGAACUAAUUUUAAUUAAACUGACCAGAAAAAAGUGAGUAUAUAAGCAGUUAAAUGCCAUCGUGUAGCUAUUAGAUAUAUUAUCAAAGUAUUUAUUCAUAUUUAAGGGACAUAGAUCUUAAAAAGAGAAAGUAUUGAUUCUCUCUUGUGACCGCCAUGGAAUAAAUGCCUUUCACCCUCUGCCAUGAUCCUGAGGCCUCCCCAGGCAUGUGGAACUACAUGUGCAUUGUCAUUGCGAUUUCUCUUCUCAUGACUCUGAUAUGUGCUAUCGCUACUUAUGGAACAUACAAGCAACAUGCAGCCUGGAUUAUCCCAUUCUUCUGUUACCAGAUCUUUGAUUUGCCUUGAACACCUUGGUUGCAAUCACUGUGCUUGUUUAUUACCCAAACUCCAUUCAGGAAUACGUAUGACAAUGGCCUCCUAAUUUUCCCUACAGAGAUGAUGUCAUGUCAGUGAAUCCUACCUGUUUGGUCCUUUUUAUUCUUCUGUUUAUUAGCAUUAUCUUCACUUUUAAGGGUUACUUGAUUAGCUGUGUUGGAAACUGCUACUGAUUCGGCAGGAAUUCCUCUGAUGUCCUGGUUUAUGUAACCAGCAAUGACAAUACGGUGCUACUACUGCCGUAUGAUGAUGCCUCUGUGAAUGGUGCUGCCAAGGAGCAGCUGCCACCUUACGUGUCUGCCUAAGUGGAGCUGAGGGCAGCAGCUUGACUUUUUUGACAUCUGAGCAAUAGUUCUGUUAUUUCAUUUUUGCGAUGAGUUCUCUGAGCUUGUUUGUUGCUGAAAUGCUACUUUUAAAAAUUUAGACACUAGGUUGAAACCUGUACUUUUCAGCAUAUGCUUUACUAGAACACUGUGAUGAUGAGCUAUAGAAUUCUUUCUGUAGGAUUCGGGGUGUAAUGGGCUUCAUAACGUUCCCUAGGCACUGAAACUUCCUCCAAAUCUGAUGGACCCAGAGUCAGAGAAGUUCACUUUUGUACCUACUGGGUUUCAGAGUUAGGCAGUUAGUCACAUUUUUUUCUCUCUAUUCCCUCUAUUUUAAAAGUGUAAAAUAAAACCAAAAGUAGACAACUUUAAGCCAUCCAGUGUAGAGAACAAAACCUUAUGAAAACAGGAAUGUCAGUUGGGUAAUCAUUGUUCUAAUUAGGUAAAUAGAAGUCCUUAUAUAUGUAUUACAAGAAUUUGCCAGAUAGCAUCCCUUAUGACUUAAGUUCAAUAACAGUUUGCACUUGGUGGUAAAGGAUUUUUCUCCAUGGCUUAAAUUAAGACCAUUGUAAAGCACUAGGCUGUGGGAGCAGUAACCAUCUGAUGAGUGCUCUCAUGCAUCCGGGUCCAGGGACGUGGGGUGACGUGCCUCGUCUGUGUUAGAGGGUAGGAUGGAUGUGUUUGGCGCUGCAUGGGAUCUGGUGCUCCUCUCCUGGAUUCACAGCCCUUCCCAGGGCCCACUUUCACUAAGUGUUCUGCCAUACCCUGAUUCAAGGAGGUCAUCCAGCUGACUUCUUCAAGCGGAAUUGGGAUAUAUUUGAUAUACAUUUGCCUAACAACAUGGAAAAGGGUAUUCUUCCUCCUUUCCCUGCAAGGUGCAUUCUACUGCUUUGAACUUCCAAGUACGCCUAGUCACCUUUUAAAAUGUGAAAGUUUUCAGAAAAGUGAAGAUUGCUUUCCUUGAAUGAGCUUAUUAUCUUGGCUACCUGAAUUGCAAGGGAUUUUUGUAUAUUCAUAUGUUCCAAAGUCAGCAACUCUCCUGUUGGUUCAUUAUUGAAAGUGCUAUAAAUGAAGUCUUUUGCAAUUAAAAAUAAAAAAAAAAGAGAGAAAGUAUUAUCUUAGUCUUAUUUCAUAGACUUGUUUCCUGAAUAUAUGCCCAGAAAAGCUUUUCUAGAACAGAAGGGAUAAGAAAGGAAGGGAAGAAGUUGAGAGAGAAUACAUGAUAAUAUAAUUAAUUAGUAGAUGUUUUUCUGCUUUUAAUGUAGACAUUUUAUUCUAAGGUUAUGGUCAGAGAACACAUUACUGGAUGGGAGAUUCCGGGCCUGGGGACAGUGCAGUCGUCAGCCUUGCUGGUGUCCUUUCACUUUGCUCAUUCUUGAUACAUGGAAUUAUAGAAAGCACA